UACGUAGGCAGCAAGCGUUGUUCGGAAUUACUGGGCGUAAAGAGUGUGUAGGCGGUGCUCUAAGUUCGGUGUGAAAUCUCCCGCUUAACUGGGAGGGUGCGCCGGAAACUGGAGUGCUUGAGCGCGGGAGAGGAAAGCGGAAUUCCUGGUGUAGCGGUGAAAUGCGUAGAUAUCAGGAGGAACACCUGUGGUGUAGACGGCUUUCUGGACCGUAGCUGACGCUGAGACACGAAAGCGUGGGUAGCAAACAGG
rnacentral:rRNA from 1 species